GUCUAGGGCCACACCACCCUGAAUGCGCCCGAUCUCAUCUGAUCUCCGAAGCUAAGCAGGGUCGGGCUUACUUGGAUG
rnacentral:rRNA from 1 species